rnacentral:tRNA from 1 species
AUUUAUAUAGUUUAAUAAAACGUUACAUUUUCAAUGUAAAAAUAAAAUAGAUUUUUUUAUAAAUG